rnacentral:lncRNA from 1 species
CUCAGUCAACAUUACUGUUUCGUGUUCUUCUAUCUUUCGCUUGUUGGAGAGGAUAUCCUUCAAGAAUUUUGCAUAGCUCGGCAUCUGGACAAGUGCUUCAGCAAAUGGGAUGUUGAUAUGCAGUUUCUUGAAGACUUCAAGGAACUUACUGUAUUGCUGAUCCAUUUUGUGCUUUCUCAACCUUUGUGGAAAUGGAAUAGGAGGCUCAUGAGGGUUAACAGGAUUAGUAUUUUUACCCUGUGAUGUCUUGGAAUUCCUCUUAACCUCAUCUUCUGUUGCAUUGUCAGUUUGCUCCACACUU